AUUGAACGCUAGCGGCAGGCCUAACACAUGCAAGUCGAGCGAGCGGCGGACGGGUGAGUAAUGUAUGGGGACUGCCCGAUAGAGGGGGAUAACUACUGGCAACGGUGGCUACUACCGCAUACUAUCGGCUAACCCAUAGGGGAUUAGCUAGUAGGUGGGGUAAAGGUUAACAUAGGCGACGAUCUCUCGCUGGUCUGAGAGGAUGAUCAGGUACACUGGGACGGAGACACGGCCCAGAAUCCUACGGAGUCAGCAGUGGGGAAUAUUGCACAAUGGGCGCAAGCCUGAUGGAGCCAUGCCGCGUGGAUUAAGAAGGCCUUAGGGUUGUAAAGGACUUUCAGCGGGGAGGCGUUACCCGCAGAAUAAGCACCGGCUAACUCCGUGCCAGAAGCCGCGGGAAUAC
rnacentral:rRNA from 1 species